UUAAUUGAAGCCAAAAUUGAGGCAAUUUAUUGUUAAUAAAUCUAUUGAAAUUAUUUUCCAAUUAAU
rnacentral:tRNA from 1 species